CUGUCUUAAAGGAAAAACAGUCCAGUUGCUUUUUGAAAUGGCAUCUUUGGGACCACCCUGACCUGGAUGAUUGAGAAUUUCCAUAGACAAAAGGUCCUUAUAUCAGCUUUCUGUCCUACGUGGUGACCAAAGCUGUCAAGGCCUUCGCAACACAGUAGAACAUGUGUUGCCAAAAGAGUCAAAAUAAUUGCAGCACCUCUAUGUAACUUAACUACUCUUAGGUUUGUCUCCUUCCAGCUAGAAGGGAUUCAUAGAGCAAUUAUUCUUGCAAGGACGCAGACGGAAACUCAAACCUUGCUGUAUGUGAAAUGAAGGCAGAUAUUCUUCAAACUCACUUGUCCUGGUUGGUGUCACACGGAUCCCCAACAAGAUCGUGAUCUCCCCAUCCGUCGCCAUCACUGUCCCAUUGGUCGUUGUUCUUGAUAUUUCGGCAGUUGUCGCAAGCAUCCCCGAAGUUGUCUUGGUCUGCGUUUUGCUGGUUCGCAUUGGGCACAAACACACAGUUGUCCUGCAGGGGGAAGGAUUCGCACGUCAAAGAAAGAAAUGAGAAAAACAGCACAGCUUUGCAAAAAUAAAAAA